UACUCCUGACUGACCGAUAGUGAACCAGUACCGUGAGGGAAAGGCGAAAAGAACCCCGGCGAGGGGAGUGAAAAAGAACCUGAAACCGUGUACGUACAAGCAGUGGGAGCCUCUUUAUGGGGUGACUGCGUACCUUUUGUAUAAUGGGUCAGCGACUUAUAUUCUGUAGCAAGGUUAACCGAAUAGGGGAGCCGAAGGGAAACCGAGUCUUAACUGGGCGUUAAGUUGCAGGGUAUAGACCCGAAACCCGGUGAUCUAGCCAUGGGCAGGUUGAAGGUUGGGUAACACUAACUGGAGGACCGAACCGACUAAUGUUGAAAAAUUAGCGGAUGACUUGUGGCUGGGGGUGAAAGGCCAAUCAAACCGGGAGAUAGCUGGUUCUCCCCGAAAGCUAUUUAGGUAGCGCCUCGUGAAUUCAUCUCCGGGGGUAGAGCACUGUUUCGGCAAGGGGGUCAUCCCGACUUACCAACCCGAUGCAAACUGCGAAUACCGGAGAAUGUUAUCACGGGAGACACACGGCGGGUGCUAACGUCCGUCGUGAAGAGGGAAACAACCCAGACCGCCAGCUAAGGUCCCAAAGUCAUGGUUAAGUGGGAAACGAUGUGGGAAGGCCCAGACAGCCAGGAUGUUGGCUUAGAAGCAGCCAUCAUUUAAAGAAAGCGUAAUAGCUCACUGGUCGAGUCGGCCUGCGCGGAAGAUGUAACGGGGCUAAACCAUGCACCGAAGCUGCGGCAGCGACACUAUGUGUUGUUGGGUAGGGGAGCGUUCUGUAAGCCUGUGAAGGUGUACUGUGAGGUAUGCUGGAGGUAUCAGAAGUGCGAAUGCUGACAUAAGUAACGAUAAAGCGGGUGAAAAGCCCGCUCGCCGGAAGACCAAGGGUUCCUGUCCAACGUUAAUCGGGGCAGGGUGAGUCGACCCCUAAGGCGAGGCCGAAAGGCGUAGUCGAUGGGAAACAGGUUAAUAUUCCUGUACUUGGUGUUACUGCGAAGGGGGGACGGAGAAGGCUAUGUUGGCCGGGCGACGGUUGUCCCGGUUUAAGCGUGUAGGCUGGUUUUCCAGGCAAAUCCGGAAAAUCAAGGCUGAGGCGUGAUGACGAGGCACUACGGUGCUGAAGCAACAAAUGCCCUGCUUCCAGGAAAAGCCUCUAAGCAUCAGGUAACAUCAAAUCGUACCCCAAACCGACACAGGUGGUCAGGUAGAGAAUACCAAGGCGCUUGAGAGAACUCGGGUGAAGGAACUAGGCAAAAUGGUGCCGUAACUUCGGGAGAAGGCACGCUGAUAUGUAGGUGAAGCGACUUGCUCGUGGAGCUGAAAUCAGUCGAAGAUACCAGCUGGCUGCAACUGUUUAUUAAAAACACAGCACUGUGCAAACACGAAAGUGGACGUAUACGGUGUGACGCCUGCCCGGUGCCGGAAGGUUAAUUGAUGGGGUUAGCGGUAACGCGAAGCUCUUGAUCGAAGCCCCGGUAAACGGCGGCCGUAACUAUAACGGUCCUAAGGUAGCGAAAUUCCUUGUCGGGUAAGUUCCGACCUGCACGAAUGGCGUAAUGAUGGCCAGGCUGUCUCCACCCGAGACUCAGUGAAAUUGAACUCGCUGUGAAGAUGCAGUGUACCCGCGGCAAGACGGAAAGACCCCGUGAACCUUUACUAUAGCUUGACACUGAACAUUGAGCCUUGAUGUGUAGGAUAGGUGGGAGGCUUUGAAGUGUGGACGCCAGUCUGCAUGGAGCCGGCCUUGAAAUACCACCCUUUAAUGUUUGAUGUUCUAACGUUGGCCCCUGAUCGGGGUUGCGGACAGUGUCUGGUGGGUAGUUUGACUGGGGCGGUCUCCUCCUAAAGAGUAACGGAGGAGCACGAAGGUUGGCUAAUCCUGGUCGGACAUCAGGAGGUUAGUGCAAUGGCAUAAGCCAGCUUGACUGCGAGCGUGACGGCGCGAGCAGGUGCGAAAGCAGGUCAUAGUGAUCCGGUGGUUCUGAAUGGAAGGGCCAUCGCUCAACGGAUAAAAGGUACUCCGGGGAUAACAGGCUGAUACCGCCCAAGAGUUCAUAUCGACGGCGGUGUUUGGCACCUCGAUGUCGGCUCAUCACAUCCUGGGGCUGAAGUAGGUCCCAAGGGUAUGGCUGUUCGCCAUUUAAAGUGGUACGCGAGCUGGGUUUAGAACGUCGUGAGACAGUUCGGUCCCUAUCUGCCGUGGGCGCUGGAGAACUGAGGGGGGCUGCUCCUAGUACGAGAGGACCGGAGUGGACGCAUCACUGGUGUUCGGGUUGUCAUGCCAAUGGCACUGCCCGGUAGCUAAAUGCGGAAGAGAUAAGUGCUGAAAGCAUCUAAGCACGAAACUUGCCCCGAGAUGAGUUCUCCCUGAGACUUAGAGUCUCCUGAAGGAACGUUGAAGACGACGACGUUGAUAGGCCGGGUGUGUAAGCGCAGCGAUGCGUUGAGCUAACCGGUACUAAUGAACCGUGAGGCUUAACCUU
rnacentral:rRNA from 1 species